rnacentral:rRNA from 1 species
GGACUGCCUUUUGCAUAAUGAGCCUGCGAGUUGUGGUGUCUGGCAAGGUUAAGCAAACGCGAAGCCGUAGCGAAAGCGAGUCUGAAUAGGGCGCUUAGUCAGAUGCUGCAGACCCGAAACGAAGUGAUCUAUCCAUGAGCAAGUUGAAGCUAGUGUAAGAACUAGUGGAGGACUGAACCCAUAGGCGUUGAAAAGCCCCGGGAUGACUUGUGGAUAGGGGUGAAAGGCCAAUCAAACUUCGUGAUAGCUGGUUCUCUCCGAAAUAUAUUUAGGUAUAGCGUUGUGUCGUAAUAUAAGGGGGUAGAGCACUGAAUGGGCUAGGGCAUACACCAAUGUACCAAACCCUAUCAAACUCCGAAUACCUUAUAUGUAAUCACAGCAGUCAGGCGGCGAGUGAUAAAAUCCGUCGUCAAGAGGGAAACAACCCAGACUACCAGCUAAGGUCCCUAAAUCUUACUUAAGUGGAAAACGAUGUGAAGUUACUUAAACAACCAGGAGGUUGGCUUAGAAGCAGCCAUCCUUUAAAGAAAGCGUAAUAGCUCACUGGUCUAGUGAUUUUGCGCGGAAAAUAUAACGGGGCUAAAGUAAGUACCGAAGCUGUAGACUUGCGCACAACUUAGAUUAUUUAAGUUUAGAAUAUGAGAAACUAAGUUAUAUGUUUAGUUAUAUUUUUACUGAUUUUUAUAGAGUAAAGAUAGAAAUAAAACUUAGUAAAAUCAGUAAAAAUAUUCUUAGACUAAAGUUAAGUAGUUUAAGUUGUGUGCAAGUGGUAGGAGAGCGUUCUAUUUGCGUCGAAGGUAUACCGGUAAGGAGUGCUGGAGCGAAUAGAAGUGAGCAUGCAGGCAUGAGUAGCGAUAAUUAAUGUGAGAAUCAUUAACGCCGUAAACCCAAGGUUUCCUACGCGAUGCUCGUCAUCGUAGGGUUAGUCGGGUCCUAAGUCGAGUCCGAAAGGGGUAGACGAUGGCAAAUUGGUUAAUAUUCCAAUACCAACAUUAGUGUGCGAUGGAAGGACGCUUAGGGCUAAGGGGGCUAGCGGAUGGAAGUGCUAGUCUAAGGUCGUAGGAGGUUAUACAGGCAAAUCCGUAUAACAAUACUCCGAGAACUGAAAGGCUUUUUGAAGUCUUCGGAUGGAUAGAAGAACCCCUGAUGCCGUCGAGCCAAGAAAAGUUUCUAAGUUUAGCUAAUGUUGCCCGUACCGUAAACCGACACAGGUGGGUGGGAUGAGUAUUCUAAGGCGCGUGGAAGAACUCUCUUUAAGGAACUCUGCAAAAUAGCACCGUAUCUUCGGUAUAAGGUGUGGUUAGCUUUGUAUUAGGAUUUACUCCGAAAGCAAGGAAACUUACAACAAAGAGUCCCUCCCGACUGUUUACCAAAAACACAGCACUCUGCUAACUCGUAAGAGGAUGUAUAGGGUGUGACGCCUGCCCGGUGCUCGAAGGUUAAUUGAUGGGGUUAGCAUUAGCGAAGCUCUUGAUCGAAGCCCGAGUAAACGGCGGCCGUAACUAUAACGGUCCUAAGGUAGCGAAAUUCCUUGUCGGUUAAAUACCGACCUGCAUGAAUGGCGUAACGAGAUGGGAGCUGUCUCAAAGAGGGAUCCAGUGAAAUUGUAGUGGAGGUGAAAAUUCCUCCUACCCGCGGCAAGACGGAAAGACCCCGUGGACCUUUACUACAGCUUGACACUGCUACUUGGAUAAGAAUGUGCAGGAUAGGUGGGAGGCUUUGAGUAUAUGACGCCAGUUGUAUAUGAGCCAUUGUUGAGAUACCACUCUUUCUUAUUUGGGUAGCUAACCAGCUUGAGUUAUCCUCAAGUGGGACAAUGUCUGGUGGGUAGUUUGACUGGGGCGGUCGCCUCCCAAAUAAUAACGGAGGCUUACAAAGGUUGGCUCAGAACGGUUGGAAAUCGUUCGUAGAGUAUAAAGGUAUAAGCCAGCUUAACUGCAAGACAUACAAGUCAAGCAGAGACGAAAGUCGGUCUUAGUGAUCCGGUGGUUCUGUGUGGAAGGGCCAUCGCUCAAAGGAUAAAAGGUACCCCGGGGAUAACAGGCUGAUCUCCCCCAAGAGCUCACAUCGACGGGGAGGUUUGGCACCUCGAUGUCGGCUCAUCGCAUCCUGGGGCUGGAGCAGGUCCCAAGGGUAUGGCUGUUCGCCAUUUAAAGCGGUACGCGAGCUGGGUUCAGAACGUCGUGAGACAGU